rnacentral:misc_RNA from 1 species
GUGGCUCAAAUAUUCCAGCACAGGUGAGAGAAAGAAGAAUUCAUUUUAUGUGGUUUUCCUUGCAUUUAUUCUAUCUUAUUUUUAUUUCUCCUUUUGGUCUUUAUCUGUAACUAUCUGCCAUCAGCACUUCUAGAGUUCAAUAUGUAUGCUAAUCAUGAUUUUGAGCGGUACACAAUUAACUUGCUAUGAAAUGUCUAUUUUAUAUCAUCUAUUCCUCCAAUACAAAGGUUUCCUACCUUUGUAAGAUGCAGGCAUUUGCUGGGUGUUAGAAAAUUGGGAAGCCUCUUUUGUGGACAAUCCUUUACCUCAAUUCAGAUUUAAUUUCAAUCAUAUAUGAUGAUCCUAUGGCUAUUGAAAGAAUGGUGUGAUACGAACACUUGACCCAUUGCUCAGCAGAAGGGUUAGUAGGAUUGGGGGAAGGUGUCAAGUUUGAAUCAUUUGUACGUUUAAGUUCUACUUUGAGCAUAUCUGCUGGUCAAUACAUCUAGUUGUGGGCUUGGUGAAAAGAGGAAGGAAAAACUUUUUAAGUAUAAAGCAAAAUUUAUCAUAAAUGAUGAAGAGCUUAUGUGAGCUGUUUUUUUGGAGUCUUAAAUACAUGGCCCAGCUACAACAUACUCAAUAAUAUCACCUUCUACCCUCUGAUGAGAAAUUCUUGGGUAGAUUUAAUCUACCACGUCAUUUGUGGAGUCAACCAAUAAAAUCAUGCCAAGUUAGUAUAAUCAUGGAUAAAAUAUGCAAUUUAUCCAUAAUUAUAAUUGAAUCAUCAUUGUUGUGAAAGAACUCUAUCAGUUUAGUCCAUAGUCACGUGGUAAACUAAGUCUAUGCAGUAUUUAUCUUUCAUUCACAUUGCUUUGCUCAUAUUGCUAAUUUCGGUGAAUUUAACAGUGAAAAUUUUGGUUUUUGUUCAUGUAUGUAGCAUGCAUGAGUAUAUUCUAUCUUAUUAUGUAAGAGUGAACGUUUUUGUAUUAUAGGAAUGGAUUGACAGUUGACACU